rnacentral:rRNA from 1 species
UUCGAUUAGAGUUUGAUCCUGGCUCAGAAUGAACGCUGGCGGCGUGCCUAACACAUGCAAGUCGAGCGGUAAGGCCCCUUCGGGGGUACACGAGCAGCGAACGGGUGAGUAACGCGUGGGUAACCUACCCAGAAGUUGGGGAUAGCCUCGGGAAACCGGGGGUAAUACCGGAUGUGUCCCAGACGACAUAAGUCGAUUGGGAGAAAGGCGGGGAUCUUCGGACUUGUCGCUUCUGGAUGGGCCCGCGUCCGAUUAGCUUGUUGGUGAGGUAAUGGCUCACCAAGACAUCUAUCGGUAGCCGGCCUGAGAGGGUGAACGGCCACAUUGGGACUGAGACACGGCCCAGACUCCUACGGGAGGCAGCAGUGGGGAAUUUUGGGCAAUGGGCGCAAGCCUGACCCAGCGACGCCGCGUGGAGGAUGAAGGCCUUCGGGUUGUAAACUCCUGUCAGGUGGGAAGAAAUGCCCGUCGGUGAAUAUCCGACGGGAGCUGACGGUACCACCAAAGGAAGCCCCGGCUAACUCCGUGCCAGCAGCCGCGGUAAUACGGAGGGGGCAAGCGUUAUUCGGAUUUACUGGGCGUAAAGCGCACGUAGGCGGCCAGGCAUGUCGACGGUGAAAGCCCUCGCCUCAACCGAGGAAUUGCCUUCGAAACUGCCUGGCUUGAGUCCGGGAGGGGGGAGCGGAAUUCCCAAUGUAGCGGUGAAAUGCGUAGAUAUUGGGAGGAACACCAGUGGCGAAAGCGGCUCCCUGGACCGGUACUGACGCUGAGGUGCGAAAGCGUGGGUAGCAAACAGGAUUAGAUACCCUGGUAGUCCACGCCGUAACGAUGGGCACUAGGUGCAGCGGGUGUCGACCCCUGCUGUGCCGAAGUUAACGCAUUAAGUGCCCCGCCU